ACGAACGCUGGCGGCAUGGAUUAGGCAUGCAAGUCGAACGGGAUCCGGAGUGUUCAAGUAGCAAUAUGAGAAUAUUCCGGUGAUAGUGGCGCAAGGGUGAGGAACACGUGAGUAACUUGCCCCCAAGUUUGGGAUAGCCCGCCGAAAGGCGGGAUAAUACCAGAUGUGGAUGAGGUUCCGCAUGGAAUCUUUUCCAAAGAUUUAUUGCUUGGGGAUAGGCUCGCGUCCUAUCAGCUAGUUGGUGAGGUAAUGGCUCACCAAGGCUAUGACGGGUAGCUGGUCUGAGAGGAUGGUCAGCCACACUGGGACUGAGACACUGCCCAGACUCCUACGGGAGGCUGCAGUCGAGAAUCUUCCGCAAUGGGCGAAAGCCUGACGGAGCAAUGCCGCGUGAAGGAUGAAGGUCUUCGGAUUGUAAACUUCUGUCACUGGGGACGAAUAAAUGACGGUACCCAGAGAGGAAGCCACGGCUAACUACGU
rnacentral:rRNA from 1 species